GGCCGGCGGGCCGGAAGCGCUUGCGAGAGGCUGAGAUGGAGGCAGGGAGCGCGUGCAAAGCGCGCGCGCGGCGGGAGCGCGGCGCCGUGAGAGCCGUUAACGGUCGUAACGGCCGCGCCCGCCUCGCGCCGCCCCUCAGGCAGCCCUCACGGUGCGGGCGGCCCGGGGCGGGUAGCGGAUCGCAGCGCGUUAAAGCGCCGUCUUUAGAGCUCUUCUAAGCGAUAGCAGAAACGGAGCUUAGAGAGCCAUCGGUGCUGAGGACGCCGAUGUGUUUUUAUCAGAGGACGCCCACGCUGCGCGAGCGGCGAGACGGGAUGUCUGCGGCGCGGCUCCCCGGGCGGGAGGAGGCGCGGGGCAGCAGCGGGCGGAGGGCGACACCUGGCGGGCGGCAGCGCCUCCCGCUGAGCGGCGGGUCCGGCUGAGGGCGAGCUUCGGUCGUGGUUUAACCGUAACCCCGAAGCAUCAAUUACAACUUAGUCACUCCUCGGGAAAAGAGGAAGGGAAAUGGACUCAAUUUUCAGGAAGCUUCUAUAUGCAACUACUAUGAACAGGAAAUGAACAGAAGAAUAGAACAUCUGCCUGCAAAAAGGCAUCUUGGUUAACUUCUGGAUCACAAUGACUGCAACCCCAUAUAGAACUGAUUUCCCCAAUACAUCUGAAAAGGAAACUCGAGAAGGAAAAGAAGUAGGUAUGCAAUUUUGGGGCUAAAUGUCACAGAACACUGUUGAUAAGAGACCUGGGAAAAAUUUUAGACAUCCUGUCAUCUUGAAGGCAGUGAAAUAUCAAUGAGGAUUGAGCAGUAGAAACUGUGGCUGGAGAGGUAAAAGAAUCUUUCAUUCAAAGCCCUAAGAUAUCUUCACUAUUAAAAUUCAGCACGCUUUCAGAAAACAGACUGAAGGAGGAAUCAAGUACAGUUUUACAACUUCAUAAAUUUUACCAGUCUCUUUUAAGCUCUCCAUUAUUAUUCACUUUUCAAAGACAGUCUAUGGCAUUACAGACUAUCAAAGGAGAGGUCUGAAAAAGUAAGCUUUAAGAACCAAUUACUAGAAAGCGUUACUACAAAAUGUUUUUAUCAGAUAACUUAUCAAGAUUCCAAAACAGGAAUUGAUUCAGAGAGGAUCAGAGUAUCUUCACCACAACAUGACAGGUGACGAUGAAUCACCUGUCAGAAGUCCUUAGGGAACACCUCUGUUCCUAAAAUUGGUACACACGUCUGAGUACUGAGUACUAAGAUGCCUGUGGCUCAACUUGGCAGAAAACUGUGUACUUAUAAUGCUGCAACUUCUGAAUAAGUUGGGUGAUACUGGAAACAGUCUGACACUUCUGGUAGAUCAAAAGGAAAACUAAUAACCUCAACUAUGGAGAGAAAAAGACUACUACAGAAAAGGGAAAUUGGGAAAAGACUUUCUCUGGACAGCAGCCUUGUGGAGUAUAUGGACUCAAACAAAUACAUAGAGCAUCUAGUGACUCAGCUAGAGGAACAACGCUGGAAUUUAUGGAGG